rnacentral:rRNA from 1 species
GCAACACAGCAGCCCUACCCCCCACCUCCUCUCUCCACCCCAAUAACCUCUUUACACCUUAAUCCUUAAAACAUUAUAUAAACUUAGUAUAGGAGAUAGAAAAGAUUUUUAGAAGCUUUAAAGACAGUACCGCAAGGGAAAGCUGAAAAACAUGAAACAAUCACCAAGCAAAAAAAAGCAAAGAUAAACCCUUGUACCUUUUGCAUCAUGAUUUAGCUAGCAUAACCGAGACAAAAAGAAUUAAAGCCUUUUUCCCCGAAACUAGAUGAGCUAUUUUAGGGCAACCUUAACAAUGGUUACAAUCCGUCUCUGUGGCAAAAGAGUGGAAAGACCCUUAAAUAGAGGUGAAAAGCCAAACGAAUCUAGUGAUAGCUGGUUGCUCAACAAAAGAAUAAUAGUUCCACCUUAAAUCAUCCCAUACGCAAUACAUAGCCCCAUGAAAGAUUUAAGAGCUACUCAAUUAGGGAACAGCCUGAUUGAGAAGGGAUACAACCCAUAAUGGAGAAUCAACUCAACAAAAAUUAAAUAGUAGGCCUUAAAGCAGCCACCACCCAAGACAGCGUUAAAGCUCACACACCCUAAAUAUCAAAACCUUUGUCCAUUCCCAAGUACAAUUGAGCCAUUCUACCCCUCUAGAAGAACCAAUGCUAAAAUUAGUAACAAGAAGACUUUUUCUCAACGCACUAGCUUACAUUAGUUCAGAAAUACUACUAAUUAUUAACGAAACAAAUACUACAAAAAUUUUAAACAGAACAUAUAACAACACAACCGUUAACCCAACACAGGAGUGCCAACUAGAAAGAUUAAAAUUUGUAAAAGGAACUAGGCAACUUAAGAACCCGACUGUUUACCAAAAACAUAGCCACUAGCCCUACGAGUAUUAGAGGUAACGCCUGCCCAGUGAUUUAUUAAACGGCCGCAGUAACAUGACUGCGCGAAGGUAGCAUAAUCACUUGUCUUUUAAAUAGAGACUGGAAUGAAUGGCUACACGAGGUUCUAUCUGUCUCUUACAAACAAUCAGUGAAAUUGAUCCCCUCGUGCAAAAGCGAGAAUGGCCUCAUAAGACGAGAAGACCCUGUGGAACUUCAAGUACUAACCAAUAUAUUUCUACAUCUCUACCCUAAGGGAAAGAAAACCCGAAAUAUUCCCUGGUUAUUGCUUUCGGUUGGGGCGACCUCGGAGUAAAAUAAAACCUCCGAAAAGAGUAUAUUCUCAUACUAAGAAUAACAUCUCAAAGUGAUUAAAAUCAAAACGAUCCAAUAUAUUUGAUCAACGAACAAAGCUACCCCAGGGAUAACAGCGCAAUCCCUUCUUAGAGUCCAUAUUGACGAUGGGGGUUUACGACCUCGAUGUUGGAUCAGGACAUCCUGAUGGUGCAGCAGCUAUUAAGGGUUCGUUUGUUCAACGAUUAAUAGUCCUACGUGAUCUGAGUUCAGACCGGAGUAAUCCAGGUCGGUUUCUAUCUAUGUACGUAUAUUUUCCAGUACGAAAGGAACUAAAAUAUGCGACCUAUAAUCCAAAUACGUCGCAUCCCUCAUCUAUGUAUUCAACUUAACUAACAUAAGGGACCCAAAUUAACCAUGCCUAAAGCAGGUAA